rnacentral:rRNA from 1 species
GACGAACGCUGGCGGCGUGCUUAACACAUGCAAGUCGAACGGUGACGAGGAGCUUGCUCCUCUGAUCAGUGGCGAACGGGUGAGUAACACGUGAGCAACCUGCCCCAGACUCUGGGAUAACAGUUGGAAACAGCUGCUAAUACCGGAUACGAGACGGAGAGGCAUCUCUACCGUCUGGAAAGUUUUCGGUCUGGGAUGGACUCGCGGCCUAUCAGCUAGUUGGUGAGGUAAUGGCUCACCAAGGCGACGACGGGUAGCCGGCCUGAGAGGGCGACCGGCCACACUGGGACUGAGACACGGCCCAGACUCCUACGGGAGGCAGCAGGUGGGGAAUAUUGCACAAUGGGCGAAAGCCUGAUGCAGCGACGCCGCGUGAGGGAUGACGGCCUUCGGGUUGUAAACCUCUUUCAGCAGGGAAGAAGCGAAAGUGACGGUACCUGCAGAAGAAGCACCGGCUAACUACGUG